rnacentral:rRNA from 1 species
UACGGAGGGUGCAAGCGUUAUCCGGAUUCACUGGGUUUAAAGGGUGCGUAGGCGGGCAGGUAAGUCAGUGGUGAAAUCUCCGGGCUUAACCCGGAAACUGCCGUUGAUACUAUCUGUCUUGAAUAUCGUGGAGGUAAGCGGAAUAUGUCAUGUAGCGGUGAAAUGCUUAGAUAUGACAUAGAACACCCAUUGCGAAGGCAGCUUGCUACACGAUCAUUGACGCUGAGGCACGAAAGCGUGGGGAGCAAACAGG